UACGUAGGGUGCGAGCGUUAAUCGGAAUUACUGGGCGUAAAGCGUGCGCAGGCGGCUUUGCAAGACAGAUGUGAAAUCCCCGGGCUCAACCUGGGAACUGCAUUUGUGACUGCAAGGCUAGAGUACGGCAGAGGGGGAUGGAAUUCCGCGUGUAGUAGUGAAAUGCGUAGAUAUGCGGAGGAACACCAAUGGCGAAGGCAAUCCCCUGGGCCUGUACUGACGCUCAUGCACGAAAGCGUGGGGAGCAAACAGG
rnacentral:rRNA from 1 species